rnacentral:rRNA from 1 species
AGAGUUUGAUCAUGGCUCAGGACGAACGCUGGCGGCGUGCCUAAUACAUGCAAGUCGAACGAAGCUUUCUUUCACCGAAUGCUUACAUUCACCGAAAGAAGCUUAGUGGCGAACGGGUGAGUAACACGUAGGCAACCUGCCCAAAAGAGGGGGAUAACACUUGGAAACAGGUGCUAAUACCGCAUAACCAUGAACACCGCAUGAUGUUCAUGUAAAAGACGGCUUUUGCUGUCACUUUUGGAUGGGCCUGCGGCGUAUUAACUUGUUGGUGGGGUAACGGCCUACCAAGGUGAUGAUACGUAGCCGAACUGAAAGGUUGAUCGGCCACAUUGGGACUGAGACACGGCCCAAACUCCUACGGGAGGCAGCAGUAGGGAAUCUUCCACAAUGGACGAAAGUCUGAUGGAGCAACGCCGCGUGAAUGAAGAAGGCCUUCGGGUCGUAAAAUUCUGUUGUCAGAGAAGAACGUGCGUGAGAGUAACUGUUCACGUAUUGACGGUAUCUGACCAGAAAGCCACGGCUAACUACGUGCCAGCAGCCGCGGUAAUACGUAGGUGGCGAGCGUUGUCCGGAUUUAUUGGGCGUAAAGGGAACGCAGGCGGUCUUUUAAGUCUGAUGUGAAAGCCUUCGGCUUAACCGAAGUAGUGCAUUGGAAACUGGAAGACUUGAGUGCGGAAGAGGAGAGUGGAACUCCAUGUGUAGCGGUGAAAUGCGUAGAUAUAUGGAAGAACACCAGUGGCGAAAGCGGCUCUCUGGUCUGUAACUGACGCUGAGGUUCGAAAGCGUGGGUAGCAAACAGGAUUAGAUACCCUGGUAGUCCACGCCGUAAACGAUGAGUGCUAAGUGUUGGAGGGUUUCCGCCCUUCAGUGCUGCAGCUAACGCAUUAAGCACUCCGCCUGGGGAGUACGGUCGCAAGACUGAAACUCAAAGGAAUUGACGGGGGCCCGCAUAAGCGGUGGAGCAUGUGGUUUAAUUCGAAGCAACGCGAAGAACCUUACCAGGUCUCGACAUCUUCUGACAAUUCCAGAGAUGGAACGUUCCCUUCGGGGACAGAAUGACAGGUGGUGCAUGGUUGUCGUCAGCUCGUGUCGUGAGAUGUUGGGUUAAGUCCCGCAACGAGCGCAACCCUUAUUGUCAGUUGCCAUCAUUAAGUUGGGCACUCUGGCGAGACUGCCGGUGACAAACCGGAGGAAGGUGGGGAUGACGUCAAAUCAUCAUGCCCCUUAUGACCUGGGCUACACACGUGCUACAAUGGACGGUACAACGAGUCGCUAACUCGCGAGGGCAAGCUAAUCUCUUAAAGCCGUUCUCAGUUCGGAUUGCAGGCUGCAACUCGCCUGCAUGAAGUCGGAAUCGCUAGUAAUCGCGAAUCAGCAUGUCGCGGUGAAUACGUUCCCGGGCCUUGUACACACCACCCGUCACACCAUGAGAGUUUGUAACACCCAAAGUCGGUGGGGUAACCUUUUGGAGCCAGCCGCCUAAGGUGGGACAGAUGAUUGGGGUGAAGUCGUAACGAGGUA